GAGGAAUUUUGCGCAAUGGGGGAAACCCUGACGCAGCAACGCCGCGUGAGUGAUGAAGGAUUUCGGUUCGUAAAGCUCUGUCAAGUGGGAAGAAGUUAUCAUAUGUUAAUAGCAUAUGGUAUUGACGGUACCA
rnacentral:rRNA from 1 species